CCUACGGGAGGCAGCAGUGGGGAAUAUUGGGCAAUGGGCGCAAGCCUGACCCAGCAACGCCGCGUGAAGGAAGAAGGCUUUCGGGUUGUAAACUUCUUUUAUCAGGGACGAAGCAAGUGACGGUACCUGAUGAAUAAGCCACGGCUAACUACGUGCCAGCAGCCGCGGUAAUACGUAGGUGGCAAGAGUUAUACGGAUUUAAGGGGUGGAAAGGGCGAGUAGGGGGGGGUGCAAGUCAGAUGUGAAAACUAUGGGCUCAACCCAUAGCCUGCAUUUGAAACUGUACUUCCUGAGUGCUGGAGAGGCAAUCGGGAUUCCGUGUGUAGCGGUGAAAUGCGGAGAUAUACGGAGGAACAACAGUGGCUAAGGCCGAUUGCUGGACAGUAACUGACGCUGAGGCGCGAAAGCGUGGGGAGCAAACAGGAUUAGAUACCCUAGUAGUC
rnacentral:rRNA from 1 species